UACGGAGGGUGCAGGCGUUGUCCGGAUUUAUUGGGUUUAAAGGGUGCGUAGGCGGCUAUUUAAGUCAGUGGUGAAAGACUCCGGCUCAACCGGAGCAGUGCCAUUGAUACUGGGUAGCUUGAGUGUUGGAGGGGUACAUGGAAUUGAUGGUGUAGCUGUGAAAUGCAUAGAUACCAUCAGGAACACCGAUAGCGAAGGCAUUGUACUGGCCAACAACUGACGCUGAUGCACGAAAGCAUGGGCAGCGAACAGG
rnacentral:rRNA from 1 species